GUAAUUGCAAUGUCAAGGUGUCUUUCAAAAGACUAAGCGAGUCUAGUUUAGCUACCUCAAAAAGGCUAAUCAGUUUUUUCAUUGUAAUCCAAGUAGCUUAUGAUUUAUCACCAUGAGGUUUAUUGCUAAAUUUUUAUUAGAAUACAUAAAAAUGGGCGUGCCAUGAGUCCUCGACCCAGCCGUCGUGGGUUCGAUUCCCGGACCCGGCGAUAUUUGCCGCAUGUCUUCCCCCCUCUCCUUCCCCGUUUCCUGUCAGCCUACUUUCAUAUAAGGCCCCCUGGAGGGGAGAAAAAAAAAGAAAAAAGAAUGCAUAUGUAACAGGUGGCACUAUUAGGUGUCGCACUCUCUCCAGCCUGUGCCUCCAUAAAAGGGAAGCUGAUAGGGUGGUGGCCAGGUGUCAAUUUCCUGUGUGUUAGACCAGCUGUGUGUUGGGCCCACGCUGUUUGCUGGCUGUGGUAGGUUGGGGGAAAUUGUUUUAAAGUGAUUCUUUUAAGUAAGUUGUGCUGAUGUGGUGUUUUUAUACAGGACUGCAUUGUUGAUGGUGUUGGCUGGUAGCGUUACCUGGGCGUUCGACACCGCAGGUAGGUUUUAUACAUUGGUCUUUUUAAUCCGAAUGAAUUGUGUGUUUAUAUAUUGUUUUAUUUGCUAGGGUUGUACCACAUUGGAUACACCAAGAUUUGAUUUGGAAGUGUUGAUUUAUGCAAUGCAGUUUUUGCACUGCCUCCUGCUGUCCUUUUAGCGUUUGUUUUUUUUCUUUUUUGUUAGUCCGCCCAGUUAGGAUCAUUUUUUUGCUUGUAGUACUUGUGAGGGUGGGCUAACAACUUUUUCAUUCAUUUUGUUUAUUUUGUUUAUUUUGUGGCACUUCCCUGAAUACUUACAUCCUGUUUGGUGUGAUCCCUAUGUUGGGUUGACAACGAACGGAUAAAGCUAGCGGGGAAUCCUUCAUGUAUUCAACAAUAAAUAUCAAUAGUUGACUUAAUCCCUGUUGUUGAUUAUUACGCUUUGGCUGGUCUCAGCUAUAACACAUAAAAAUAUCAAAUACAUAAUCAUUACAAUAUCAAGGUGUGUAAUAUCAAUGCAAAGGAUCUCCAACAUUCACAGGGUUAGGGACCUCAGAAAUCUGCUAACAGCCAAGAUCCACAAAUAACUGAAUCCCUCUAAAAUACCUACAAAUACUUGUGUUACUAAUUCAAACACCAAAUAUCCCUUAAUAUGCAUUAAUACGCAAACCGUAUUCGAAAUAUUGAAAGAGCUGACGUCUACGGUGCUCUUCUUUGCUCCCCGGGGUUACAGCAAAUAAGGAACGCGACGAGUAAAUACCAAUCCUGAACCGGCGACUGUACAGACAUCACCCAAUGGCAUUUAAAUUAGCAUUGAACAUAAAUAUUUCAGCUGUCCAAGUAGCAUUUUCAAUCAAAUAGUUUUCAUAUAAUCUAUAAAAAAAAUAAAACAGCAAAUAGGCAAAUGUUUCCAUGAGUGAGUUGGAGGGAUUCAACAGAUUUAUGUUUGCAGGCUAAAAAAAUUAAAAUCUCAGGAAUGAGCACUCUGGAUGUCAAUAAGGUAUAUUUAGUCUGAUGCAAGUCAUCUAAGGUAACAGAGAUAUAUUUGCUGCAAUUAGUUAAGAAGCAAAAGGAGAAAAAUAUGGAUUUAUCCCUGAUAUCAUUACAGCAACAUUGCCAUAGCAAUAAUCUUUUUUUUUUUUAAGCCAAAUUCAUCUUUUGGCAAAAAAAA